rnacentral:rRNA from 1 species
GUGUCAGCCGCCGCGGUAAUACGUAGGUGGCGAGCGUUGUCCGGAUUUAUUGGGCGUACAGGGCGCGCAGGCGGUUCGUUAAGUUCGAGGUGAAAUCUCCUGGCUCAACUGGGAGGGGUCUUCGAAAACUGGCGGGCUUGAGGAGAGCAGAGGUGAGUGGAAUUCUGGGUGUAGUGGUGAAAUGCGUAGAUAUCCAGAGGAACACCAGUGGCGAAGGCGACUCACUGGGCUCCACCUGACGCUGAGGCGCGAAAGCGUGGGGAGCGAACCGGAUUAGAUACCCGAGUAGUCC